CACUCUAGAGAGACUGCCAGGGAUAACCUGGAGGAAGGUGGGGAUGACGUCAAAUCAUCAUGCCCCUUAUGCUUAGGGCUACACACGUGCUACAAUGGGUAGUACAGAGGGUUGCCAAGCCGUAAGGUGGAGCUAAUCCCUUAAAGCUACUCUCAGUUCGGAUUGUAGGCUGAAACUCGCCUACAUGAAGCUGGAGUUACUAGUAAUCGCAGAUCAGAAUGCGGCGGUGAAUGCGUUCCCGGGUCUUGUACACACCGCCCGUCACACCACGGGAGUUGGAGACGCCCGAAGCCGAUUAUCUAACCUUUUGGAAGAAGUCGUCGAAGGUGGAAUCAAUAACUGGGGUGAAG
rnacentral:rRNA from 1 species